rnacentral:snoRNA from 1 species
AGCACCUCUGUGGGUUUUUAACUGGUGGACAAAGACUUAAAGACAGGUUCCAAAAUAAAUUCCCUUUUGCAAGGCAGAACUCAUUGUUGUUUGAGUUUUGAUACAUGUGAGGAGUAUCACA